GCGAGGAGGGGUGGAGCCAUAACGGAAGGCGGAGAAAAAGUGCCAUACCAGUUUCUCGGCCUCCCAGGUGUCCACGACCACCAGUGUGGUGUCUUCUCCAUCCACCGUGAGGGUCCUCUCAUAUACAUCUUCUGCAACCGAGGGAAGAGCUGGAUCUCAGGGAGGACGGGCAAGCCUGAGAGAGUGUGGUGUUCCCUGCCCCCCAUUUCUGGUCAUAUCGCCCCCUCCACUUGUCCUCGGAAACGCUUAUCACACUUGUUUGAUGCCUGUCUCUCCUGAGGCUGGCCAAGCUGGUCUUCCCCACUCCAGGAUCUCCAAGUAGCACCACACGGUAGAGAGCCUCCCAGGAGCCUUCAGAGUCGCUGGAUUCAGAAGACCAAUCAUCUGGGGCAGGUGAAGGUUUCUGGGUGGGAGGGUUGAGGGAGGCUGAUUGGCCCAGCCGGGGAUGCUGGGAUUGAGUGGAAGGCACUGUGCUCAGGCGGCCAGGCUGGUGGCCCCGUGGGGACAGGGGCAGUGGGGUGCUGGCUCGCCGGUGCAGAGGGGUCUUUGCUUCCUGCUCGGUGUUGAGUGUCAUCUUUGGUAGGGGGGGGUUUGCUUCUUCCUUCUUUCCUUCUGAAAGAAGGGGGAAUUGGCUGUCAGCCAAUUGCUUUGAGCUGCUUCUUUCUAUAGUGUCCUGAUGAGCUGCUGUAUGGCUUCUUCCAGAUCCCCCUCUUGUUCAGAUGGGAGUAGGAGGUGCCUCAGCUUCUUGGGGCAGAAAGUCCCUAGGUUUUCUGGCCUCAGGCUCUGCAUAAACCUGGAUCCGGAUGGAAGGAGUGAGUGUGCAGGCUGUGAACACACAGACAUGCACACCCAGAGGCCAUUCCCUUGUCUUAAGGAUGAUCUACUCCUGAUGACAG
rnacentral:lncRNA from 1 species